rnacentral:lncRNA from 1 species
CCGGAAGCGGAACUUCUGCCCCCCAGCGCCACUGCCAUGGACCGUUGCCUGUCACCUCCUGAUUUUCACUUCAGUGAUUCUUACAGCAACAGAAGGUGGAGGCUGUGUUUAUAUUGGAGGGAGGAGGCUGUGUUUAUAUUGAAGGAAAUGGAAGUUACCAUCGCGGUUUCAUUAAAACGGAAUUGUUUUCCUUUUAGUCUUUCUGACUGGCUAUGAACUCUUUUCCUACGUCCACUUAAAAGACCAUGGGAGAGCUCUGACUGGCACAUUAUCAGAAGAGCAGAAAAUGCAACAGAUUGAAGCCCCCAAAUCCUCCUGCUUCAAGGCUCCCCACAAAGCAGAUGAUUGCUUGAAAGAUUUCCCUGAGAUUUUAGCUUAGAUACCUCGAGAG